UACGUAGGUGGCAAGCGUUGUCCGGAAUUACUGGGUGUAAAGGGCGUGUAGGCGGGAAGGCAAGUCAGAUGUGAAAGCCCAUGGCUUAACUGUGGAACUGCAUCUGAAACUGUUUUUCUUGAGUACUGGAGAGGAAAGUGGAAUUCCUAGUGUAGCGGUGAAAUGCGUAGAGAUUAGGAGGAACACCAGUGGCGAAGGCGGCUUUCUGGACAGUAACUGACGCUGAGGCGCGAAAGCGUGGGGAGCAAACAGGAUUAGAUACCCCCGUAGU
rnacentral:rRNA from 1 species